AGGGCUAUAGCUCAGUUAGGUAGAGCACCUCGUUUACACCUCGAGAAGGUCUACGGUUCGAGUCCGUAUAGCCCUA
rnacentral:tRNA from 1 species